UUGACCUCGGAUCAGGUAGGGAUACCCGCUGAACUUAAGCAUAUCAAUAAGCGGAGGAAAAGAAACCAACAGGGAUUGCCUUAGUAACGGCGAGUGAAGCGGCAAUAGCUCAAAUUUGAAAGCUGGCGUCUUCGACGUCCGCGUUGUAAUUUGUAGAGGAUGCUUCGGCGAGGACUCCUGCCUAAGUCCCCUGGAACGGGGCGUCACAGAGGGUGAGAAUCCCGUAUGUGGCGGGCAGUCCAAGCCAUGUGAAGCUCCUUCGACGAGUCGAGUUGUUUGGGAAUGCAGCUCUAAAUGGGAGGUAAAUUUCUUCUAAAGCUAAAUAUUGGCCAGAGACCGAUAGCGCACAAGUAGAGUGAUCGAAAGAUGAAAAGCACUUUGGAAAGAGAGUUAAAAAGUACGUGAAAUUGUUGAAAGGGAAGCGCUUGCAACCAGACUCGCUCGCAGUUGCUCAGCCUGCCUCUUGGCCGGUGUACUCUUCUGCGAUCGGGCCAGCAUCAGUUCGGGCGGCUGGAUAAAGGCGUCGGGAAUGUAGCACCCUUCGGGGUGUGUUAUAGCCCGGUGCGGAAUGCGGCCAGCCUGGACUGAGGAUCUCGCUUCGGCAAGGAUGCUGGCGUAAUGGUUGUAAGCGGCCCGUCU
rnacentral:rRNA from 1 species